GGAUGCCUGUAGCAGUUGACAGCCAAUUUGUUGACAAUUUGCUUCCACGGUGAAAUUGUUCUCUCCUUGUCCUUAUUGGUGUCGCAGAGGAAAAGAAAGUAUUUCAACGGAGUGCAUGGGACGUGAUGCAGCUCAACACAGAUUGUAAUGGAGGACGAUGCUAAGGAGAGGAUGAUGGAACAUGCUGACAGUCACGGUGUGCGGCCUCACCAUGGAAAAUUACAUUGAAAGUGCUGCAGUGAAUGGGCCAUGCUAACCUCCCAGCUCGCCACAGCGAUGUACAGCUAUAUCACAGAGGAACAACUAAGACCAUACUCUUCAGCUGCAUAACUGUGUGGGAAGCUGCUCAAGCUACAAGUGCCUUUGAGGCUCCACUCCCCCCUGCAAGACAUACCCCCUGCUUCAUCUUUAAAGGACUGACGGUUGGCAGUGAUGCAUGCUGCUCAGCCUUCUGCCCUCCGUGUAGAGGCACAGGAACGUGUGCACCAGACUCACCAGCUUCAUCUACUAGACUGUCAGGAUGCUGAAUUGCCACUCCUAGCCACAUCAGCCACUGCUCAACUCCCAAACUUGACCCUGACUCGCCAUACCUGGAAAUGCACAAUAUCAGAAUUCUCCUGCCAGGAUCCUGAAACAGCACAGCUGAAACUGGCAGCACAUCACCCCCGUACCCUGACAGCUAGAGUAGAGUAGAGUAGAGUAGAGUAAAGUAAAGUAAAGUAGAGCACCUUUAUUAAUUCCGUGUUUCCUCUUUUACUCACACACACACACACACACACACACACACACACACACACACACACACACACACACACACACACACACACACACACACACACACACACACACACACACACACACACCUUACAUGAAUCCACAAACACAAAACAUACACUCAGACCUACUACACAUUAUUGCUACACUGUCUCCCCGUCCAAUCUUGCAUCUCCUCCUCACUUUCUAGUCCCUCAAUGAUCUGGCACCUCACAGACAUCCUCCAUCACCCAUCGCUGCGCUCCCCCGCGCUCCCUCGCGCCAGUGUCAAGGCCACCAGUGACUGAGCCUUUUAUGUAGCUGCCCUACUCCUCUGGAAUAACCUACUGAACCACAUUCAAAAUGCCCCUUCAUUGGCCAUCAGUUUAAACAACACCUUAAAUCUCAUCUCUAUUUGGACGCUCUUUGGCUUCUAGUGUCCACAAUCACACACCUUCAUACUUACACACAUGUACAUGUAUACUGAUACACUUACACUAAUAUUAUGUUAAGCAUCCUUUGGUGUUUUGAAAGGUGCUAUAUGAAACGAAAGCAUUAUUAUUAUCAUCAUCAUCAUUCAAGAACUGCAAAGUUUGACUGUAACUGCAUAAAAUAUGACAGACUAUGCACAGGCUCUGUACUCCCCCAAGAAUGUCUGUCCAGCUCACCAUGCACUACAUGACUGGAAAUCAUUACUUGACUUUGGAACUGCAGUGUAUCUUCACUUGGUCAUGGCAUAAUAAAGGCCUGUACAGCGAUAAUUGCACAUGAUCCCCUAUAAGUAAGGUCAUAUUUGAUAUAUCAAUAGUUUAAAUAGCUAAGCAAUAAUAAUGUCUGCUAAGAAUUCUGAACUAUGCACAACAUGUUUUAGGUAUGUUUACUUCAAAGGACCUGCCCAUCACCACUUGGUAUGACGGAUAAUUACAGUACCUCCUUAGAAUGUUAAGUCAAAUGGGGAUACACAGUUGACUUCAUUUUACUCUGAUGCUGAAUGACCAUUUUUGAAUGAAGCUACACAUUAAACUGAGGCCAAAUAUU